rnacentral:rRNA from 1 species
AGCUCCAAUAGCGUAUAUUUUAGUUGUUGCAGUUAAAAAGCUCGUAGUUGCAUUUCCGAGGCAAGGGAUUAGUCCGACCUUUGGUGGGUAUUUAAUCCUCUUGCCUCGUCCUUGAGUGGUGCUUCUUGGUAUUAAGUUAUCGAGGAGAUAGCCGCUCAUCGUUUACUGUGAGAAAAUUAGAGUGUUCAAAGCAGGCUUAUGCCGUUGAAUAUAUUAGCAUGGAAUAAUAAGAUAGGACCUCGGUACUAUUUUGUUGGUUUGAGAACCAAGGUAAUGAUGAAUAGGGACAGUUGGGGGUAUUCGUAUUCAGUUGUCAGAGGUGAAAUUCUUAGAUUUACGGAAGACGAACUACUGCGAAAGCAUUUACCAAGGAUGUUUUCA